rnacentral:rRNA from 1 species
UACGGGGGGUGCGAGCGUUGUCCGGAAUCACUGGGCGUAAAGGGCGCGUAGGCGGUCUGUCGCGUCGGCUGUGAAAUCCCGGAGCUCAACUCCGGGUCUGCAGUCGAUACGGGCAAACUGGAGUACUGCAGGGGAGACUGGAAUUCCUGGUGUAGCGGUGAGAUGCGCAGAUAUCAGGAGGAACACCGGUGGCGAAGGCGGGUCUCUGGGCAGUAACUGACGCUGAGGAGCGAAAGCGUGGGAGCGAACAGG